rnacentral:piRNA from 1 species
UUGAUUUUUUUCACAAUGGCCACCUCUGCA